CCUACGGGAGGCAGCAGUGAGGAAUAUUUGUCAAUGGACGAGAGUCUGAACCAGCCAAGUAGCGUGAAGGAUGACUGCCCUAUGGGUUGUAAACUUCUUUUAUAUGGGAAUAAAACGUUCCACUAGUGGGAUUUUGUAUAUACCAUAUGAAUAAGGAUCGGCUAACUCCGUUCCAGCAGCCGCGGUAAUACGGAGGAUCCGAGCGUUAUCCGGAUUUAUUGGGUUUAAAGGGAGCGUAGGUGGAUUGUUAAGUCAGUUGUGAAAGUUGGCGGCUCAACCGGAAAAUUGCAGUUGAAACUGGUAGUCUUGAGUACAGUAGAGGUGAGCGGAAUUCGUGGUGUAGCGGUGAAAUGCUUAGAUAUCACGAAGAACUCCGAUUGCGAAGGCAGUUCCCUGGACUGCAACUGACACUGAGGCUCGAAAGUGUGGGUAUCAAACAGGAUUAGAUACCCCGGUAGUC
rnacentral:rRNA from 1 species